CCCAUCAAAAAAACACACAGAUAUUUAUAUUAUGAUUCAUUAACAGUAGCAAAAUUACAGUUAUAAAGUAGCAACAAAAAUAAUUUUAUGGUUGGGGGUCACCAUAACAUGAGGAACUGUAUUAAAGGGUCACAAAAUUAGGAAGGUUGAGACCCACUGGCUUAGUUGGUUGAGCAU